GGGAUCAUUACUGAGUGAGGGUCUCCGGCCCGACCUCCAACCCCAUGUUAUCCGACCAUGUUGCCUCGGGGGCGACCCGGCCUUCGGGCGUUGGGGCCCCCGGUGGAUUACUCAACUCUGCAUCAAUGCGUCCGAGUCAAUAUUGAAUCAAUCAAAACUUUCAACAACGGAUCUCUUGGUUCUGGCAUCGAUGAAGAACGCAGCGAAAUGCGAUAAGUAAUGUGAAUUGCAGAAUUCAGUGAAUCAUCGAAUCUUUGAACGCACAUUGCGCCCCUUGGUAUUCCGGGGGGCAUGCCUGUUCGAGCGUCAUUUCACCACUCAAGCCUAGCUUGGUAUUGGGCGUCGCGGUGUGUCCGCGCGCCUUAAUGUCUCCGGCUGAGCCGUCCGUCUCUUAGCGUUGUGGUAUUAUCAAUCCGCUUGUGAGACUGGAGGGUCCCGGCCGUUAAACCUCCACUAAAGGUUGACC
rnacentral:rRNA from 1 species